rnacentral:lncRNA from 1 species
UUUUCUUCUGUCCAGAGUGCCAGGUAUGGAUUGGACAGAGGUGCCUUUGGCCUGAUGAAAAGCCCUUUAAGUUUGUACUUAGAUGACAACCAAAAUAAACUUAAAAACUUUGAACUUGUGCCUGAACAGUAGAUAGUCACUAUUUUAUUAGCUAACAUACUGACUAGUCUAUAGUGGAUCUGACUGCCCGAUGCUGUCAAGCUGACAACCAGUAAUAUUUCAGAGAUCUGAGAAGGGUAUAUUUUAUCCGAAUCUACUGAAAAGUGACAGAAGCCAGUCUAUAUACAGUUAGCCAAACCCAAGUUUCUCCAUUACCGUUGGAGGCAGCUGUCUCAAAGACCAGCAAUCUUCGCCAGGCCUAUACUGUGAGAGUUUUUUUCCUCUCUGUGGAAGAGGGACAUGGAAAAGACUGACCUUGUUUUGUCUAGGCAAAGGGGUGCAAUCAAUUUUCCAGUGUCCAGCAGCUUUGUCCACAGUCUCGGCCAGGAUCUGGCAGUCUGUCUGACAUUAUAAACUUUAAAGAUAACAAUUUAAAUGCCAUAUUCUGAAGAUCUCUGAAGCAUUAGAGGUCUGUUUGUCUGUUUUAGUUACUUGCCUUAAGCACACAUUAAGCAUACAGGUGGCUAGGUAAGGUCUUAUUUCUGUAAAUGAUUUAGUCUGACUGUAACUGGUUUUAACUUAGUAAAAUGUUUGAAACAGCACAGCUGAACUUAAAACUGUAUAGAGCUACCUUAUAUUUCUUAAACAGUAGCUUAACUUAUUUCUGAGGCAGGGUUUUUCUGUGACUUUGGAGCCUGUCCUGGAAUUCGAUCUGCCGGACCAGGCAGGCCUUGAACUCAUAAAGAUCCAUCUGCCUCUUACUCCCGAGUGCUGGGAUUAAAGGCGUAUGCCACCAACGCCCUCAACUUAAAGGCAUGUGCCAUCAACACCCUGAGCUUAAAGGUGUGUGUCACCAACAUUUUAAACUUAACUUCUGAAAACACAAACUGUAACAGAUUAGCAUCUUUUAUAAAACAAGAACUUUACAUUGUCAGGCUUUGCUUAGAAAUAAUUCUAAAUUGAAGCUCUUUAAGUACAAACAUUAAUAAAAACAAACAUUUGAAAACUGGUUUUAAAAAGAAAUUUAAAUUCCCUUAAGGUCUUUCUGUAAUAUAUAGAAGCAUUAACAUUUUAAAUCUUAACUGAAAACUUGUUUCUAAGAUGGUACCUCUAAUUUCCAUGUGGUCACCUUUAGUCAAGAUGGCGGUUUAAGUAUUCUUUUUUAACUUUAGCAAAAUGGCGACCAGUCAAGUCAUGUGACCAGUUACAAAAUGGCCGUAACUUGCUUUGCUUAACAUGCUUAAGCUUAUACCAGGAAAUAGAACAAUUUUAAAAC